GCACUGAAAUAUCAUAUCUCAUAUUUAUAGGAGAUGAUUGAGUUGCUCAAAUCUGAGCUACAUUUUGGACUAUGAUGUGCUUAACUUGGAAGUGCCAACACUUCCUAUUGUUGGAUCA